GAUGAAGAACGCAGUGAAAUGCGAUAAGUAAUGUGAAUUGCAGAAUUCAGUGAAUCAUCGAAUCUUUGAACGCACAUUGCGCCCGCCAGUAUUCUGGCGGGCAUGCCUGUUCGAGCGUCAUUUCCACCAUCAGGCCCCCGGGCCUGUGUUGGGGACCUGCGGCUGCCCGCAGGCCCCGAAAUUCAGUGGCGGUCGCGCCGUAGCAACCGAGCGUAGUAACUAAAACGUCUCGCUCUGGCUCGCUGGGCGCGCUCCGGCCGUAAAACACCCCCCCUUUUCGCAAAGGUUGACCUCGGAUCAGGUAGGAAUACCCGCUGAACUUAAGCAUAUCAAUAAGCGGAGGA
rnacentral:misc_RNA from 1 species